GAUGAACGCUAGCGGCAGGCCUAAUACAUGCAAGUCGAACGGUGUCUUCGGACAUAGUGGCGCACGGGUGCGUAACACGUAUGCAACCUACCUUACAUUGGGGGAUAGCCUUUCGAAAGGGAGAUUAAUACCGCAUAAGACAGUAGCUGGGCAUCCAGCAGCUGUUAAAGAUUUAUCGAUGUAAGCUGGGCAUGCGUCCAAUUAGCUAGUUGGUGAGGCAACGGCUCACCAAGGCAAUGAUUGGUAGGGGAACUGAGAGGUCAAUCCCCCACACUGACACUGAGAUACGGGCCAGACUCCUACGGGAGGCAGCAGUAGGGAAUAUUGGGCAAUGGACGCAAGUCUGACCCAGCCAUGCCGCGUGCAGGAUGAAGGCGUUAUGCGUUGUAAACUGCUUUUAUACAGGAAGAAACGACUCUUGCGAGAGGCGUUGACGGUACUGUAUGAAUAAGCACCGGCUAACUCCGUGCCAGCCGCCGCCAGUAAAAC
rnacentral:rRNA from 1 species